UGCCUGCUGGCUCAGUCUGUAGAGCAUGUGACUCUUGAUCUCAGGGUCAUGAGUUCAAGCCCCAUGUUGGGAG
rfam:Felis catus isolate Cinnamon breed Abyssinian chromosome C1, whole genome shotgun sequence.